AACGCUGGCGGCGCGCUUAACACAUGCAAGUCGAGCGAGAACCGGGACUUCGGUCCCGGGGAAAGCGGCGAACGGGUGAGUAACACGUGGGUAAUCUGCCCUCGAUUCUGGGAUAGCCCGGGGAAACCCGGAUUAAUACCGGAUAGCCUUUCGAGCCUUCGGGCGCGAAAGAAAAGGUAGCUUCGGCCUCCGAUCGAGGAUGAGCCCGCGGUGGAUUAGCUUGUUGGUGAGGUAAUGGCUCACCAAGGCGACGAUCCAUAGCUGGUCUGGGAGGACGAUCAGCCACACUGGGACUGAGACACGGCCCAGACGCCUACGGGAGGCAGCAGUGGGGAAGCUUGCGCAAUGGGCGAAAGCCUGACGCAGCGACGCCGCGUGAGGGAAGAAGGCCUUAGGGUUGUAAACCUCUUUCAGGCGGGACGAAGCCACUCGGGUGAAUAGCCCAGAGGGUGACGGUACCGCCAGAAGAAGCCCCGGCUAACUACGUGCCAGCAGCCGCCGUAAGAC
rnacentral:rRNA from 1 species